CCUACGGGGGGCAGCAGUGAGGAAUAUUGGUCAAUGGGCGAGAGCCUGAACCAGCCAAGUCGCGUGAGGGAAGACGGUCCUAUGGAUUGUAAACCUCUUUUGCCGGGGAGCAAAAAGCGGUACGUGUACCGCAUCGAGAGUACCCGGAGAAAAAGCAUCGGCUAACUCCGUGCCAGCAGCCGCGGUAAUACGGAGGAUGCGAGCGUUAUCCGGAUUUAUUGGGUUUAAAGGGAGCGUAGACGGCAUAGCAAGUCUGAUGUGAAAGAUCGGGGCCCAACCCCGGGCCUGCAUUGGAAACUGUUAAG
rnacentral:rRNA from 1 species